CCAACAAAACAAAAGCAACCCUUUUCUCAGAGUCAUUCCGUCUUCCGACCAGAACGUAAAUACCGUGUUCUAAUGGUAACCCUGUGCUUUUGGUUGCCCAAGGUUUCAAUGUAAUGUGUUGGUGUGGUUUAUCCGGUGUUUUAUUAGAAUUCUGGUUUCCCUGAAUUCGUCUAGGCCGGUUUUGAUUUACACUCUUGCAUCAUCAGGUGAUAAUCAUCACAAAUGACGUCAGCUUAUUCGUCUUUUGGUUUCCAACAUGGUUUCCAAUGGUUUCUGGACAACAACUUUGGGAAGCGAGAAAAGUUCAUUGUUAUGUCUGUGAUCUGUUUGAACCACUCUCUGGUUCAAAAUUUUAAUGAACCAUGAGAUGGAGAAAAAAGUUGGUGGACCACAGUAAAAAAAAAAAAAACAAGAAUCAAAAGAUUGAUGUUGCAUAACUUCAGGAUGGUGUCAAUGUAAAAUUCUGGUAUACUUAAAAGCAUUUCAAUGGGUCAUCCGUUUGGAUCUGCAAUCGGUGGAGGUUGUCCGCUCCAUUUGCUUUCAACUAUCUUUUCGACAUUUGAUCUUUAUUUUACCUCUUAAUCGCUUUUAUUUGAUAUAUUCGCCAAUUCUCUGUGAUAGAAGAGUCCGUCCUUUGUUUUAGACGGUUUCUCUUUCUUUUUUCUUAUUCCCUCCAACCUGUAUUGUGUUUAUUUGUCCAGCGGGAUUCAAAAAUCAUCGUAUCUCUUGUACUACCGUCUAAAUAUUUGAACAAAUCACUUAUUGAACGCAACCGUCGACACAACCAUCUGUACAUACAUAUAGAUUCGGAUAGAUUCAAAUAGCUUUUUGGAAUUUAGAAAUUCAGUCGCGUUUUUCGGCUCGUCAAAAUACACACACAUCUUAUUUAGUGGGGAAAAAAAAACAUU